GCGGACGGGUGAGUAACGCGUGGAUAACCUGCCGUAUACUGGGGGAUAACACUUAGAAAUAGGUGCUAAUACCGCAUAAGCGCACAGUCUCGCAUGAGACGGUGUGAAAAACUCCGGUGGUAUACGAUGGAUCCGCGUCUGAUUAGCUUGUUGGCGGGGUAACAGCCCACCAAGGCGACGAUCAGUAGCCGGCCUGAGAGGGUGAACGGCCACAUUGGGACUGAGACACGGCCCAAACUCCUACGGGAGGCAGCAGUGGGGAAUAUUGCACAAUGGGGGAAACCCUGAUGCAGCGACGCCGCGUGAGUGAAGAAGUGCCCCGGCACGUAAAGCUCUAUCAGCAGGGAAGAAAAUGACGGUACCUGACCAAGAAGCCCCGGCUAACUACGUGCCAGCAGCCGCGGUAAUACGUAGGGGGCAAGCGUUAUCCGGAUUUACUGGGUGUAAAGGGAGCGUAGACGGCAGCGCAAGUCUGGAGUGAAAUCCCGGGGCUCAACCCCGGAACUGCUUUGGAAACUGCGCGGCUCGAGUGCAGGAGGGGCAGGCGGAAUUCCUAGUGUAGCGGUGAAAUGCGUAGAUAUUAGGAGGAACACCAGUGGCGAAGGCGGCCUGCUGGACUGUAACUGACGUUGAGGCUCGAAAGCGUGGGGAGCAAACAGGAUUAGAUACCCUGGUAGUCCACGCCGUAAACGAUGAUUACUAGGUGUCGGGGGAUCAAGGUCCUCCGGUGCCGGCGCAAACGCAUUAAGUAAUCCACCUGGGGAGUACGUUCGCAA
rnacentral:rRNA from 1 species